CCGUGCAUUUGACUUGCAGAGUCAGAUACUCGUUCUUCCAACAAAUUAAAUCACAAUCUAAACUAUGAAGGGUCGUUAAGACAACACUUACCGGUGGAACAAAGCACCUGGUGGGCCGCAGCAGGUGGAAUAUUUUUCAUUCUGGUUGGAUUGUCUUUGAAAAAUCUGGAAAUGUCAUCAAAACAUCCGGAAAUUUUAUCAACCAACCUGUUCACACCAUGGACUUGAAAGUUGUUCCUGCAGCUGCAGAAUGAUGAUAAUCACAUCAUCCUCAUGAACCAGAAGGAGAGUGAGGAGUUAUAUGAGACAUAAUACAACAUGACUGACAUGUGGAGUAUUUCAAAAAAAAAGGUGCAAGUACAUCCAUAAAUACACAAUUAUGCAGAUCAGCUACCAAAACAGUGCUUUGCUGUGCUGUGUAGUGGCUGGUUAUAUGACCCCCGGGCCUGGAACCAGAAAUGUAUUUUUUCAGAACAUUGUCAAAUAAACAGCUGUAAAACUAA